GCGGGGUAACGGCCCACCAAGGCGUCGACGGGUAGCUGGUCUGAGAGGACGAUCAGCCACACUGGGACUGAGACACGGCCCAGACUCCUACGGGAGGCAGCAGUGGGGAAUCUUGCGCAAUGGGCGAAAGCCUGACGCAGCAACGCCGCGUGGGGGAUGAAGGCUCUCGGGUUGUAAACCCCUUUCAGCAGGGACGAAACUGACGGUACCUGCAGAAGAAGCCCCGGCCAACUACGUGCCAGCAGCCGCGGUAACACGUAGGGGGCAAGCGUUGUCCGGAUUUAUUGGGCGUAAAGAGCUCGUAGGCGGUUCGAUAAGUCGGGUGUGAAACCUCCAGGCUCAACCUGGAGACGCCACCCGAUACUGUUGUGACUGGAGUCCGGUAGGGGAGCGUGGAAUUCCUGGUGUAGCGGUGAAAUGCGCAGAUAUCAGGAGGAACACCAGCGGCGAAGGCGGCGCUCUGGGCCGGUACUGACGCUGAGGAGCGAAAGCGUGGGUAGCAAACAGGAUUAGAUACCCUGGUAGUCCACGCCGUAAACGUUGGGCACUAGGUGUGGGUCCCAACCAACGGGAUCCGUGCCGCAGCUAACGCAUUAAGUG
rnacentral:rRNA from 1 species